UGUCCCGGCUCAUUCUAAUCUCAGCUGGCAAUCUGUGAUUGGCUGAAAAUCACAGAUGCAGAUGGGAUUCUGAUGAGUCGGGA
ensembl:miRNA csa-mir-216a csa-mir-216a